rnacentral:rRNA from 1 species
GGGGAAUCUUGCGCAAUGGGCGAAAGCCUGACGCAGCAACGCCGCGUGCGGGAUGACGGCCUUCGUGGUUGUAAACCGCUUUCAGCAGGGACGAAAAUGACGGUACCUGCAGAAGAAGCCCCGGCUAACUACGUGCCAGCAGCCGCGGUAAUACGUAGGGGCAAGCGUUGUCCGGAUUCAUUGGGCGUAAAGAGCUCGUAGGCGGUUCAGUAAGUCGGGUGUGAAAGCUCCGAGCUCAACUCGGAGAGGCCACCCGAUACUGCUGUGACUUGAGUCCAGUAGAGGAGCGUGGAACUCCUGGUGUAGCGGUGGAAUGCGCAGAUAUCAGGAAGAACACCUGCAGCGAAGGCGGCGCUCUGGGCUGGAACUGACGCUGAGGAGCGAAAGCGUGGGUAGCAAAC